GAUGAACGCUGGCGGCGUGCCUAAUACAUGCAAGUCGAGCGAACAGACGAGGAGCUUGCUCCUCUUACGUUAGCGGCGGACGGGUGAGUAACACGUGGAUAACCUACCUAUAGGACUGGGAUAACUUCGGGAAACCGGAGCUAAUACCGGAUAAUAUAUUGAACCGCAUGUUUCAAUAGUGAAAGACGGUUUUGCUGUCACUUAUAGAUGGAUCCGCGCCGCAUUAGCUAGUUGGUAAGGUAACGGCUUACCAAGGCAACGAUGCGUAGCCGACCUGAGAGGGUGAUCCGCCCCACUGGAACUUCGAGACGGACCAGAUUCCUAAGGAAGGCAGCGGUACGGACAUUUGAGCCAUGGGAGAAAGCCUGACGGAGCAACGCCGCGUGAGUGAUGAAGGUCUUACGAUCCUAAGACGCUGUUAUUGGGGACGAACAAAUCUCUAAGUAACCAUGCCCGUCUUGACGGUACCUAAUCAGAAAGCAACGGCCAACUACGUG
rnacentral:rRNA from 1 species